rnacentral:rRNA from 1 species
GUUCGGACUGCAGUCUGCAACUCGACUGCACGAAGCUGGAAUCGCUAGUAAUCGCGGAUCAGCACGCCGCGGUGAAUACGUUCCCGGGCCUUGUACACACCGCCCGUCACACCAUGGAAGUCUGCAAUGCCCGAAGCCGGUGGCCUAACCACUUAUGUGGAAGGAGCCGUCUAAGGCAGGGCAGAUGACUGGGGUGAAGUCGUAACAAGGUAGC